rnacentral:rRNA from 1 species
AGAGUUUGAUCCUGGCUCAGGACGAACGCUGGCGGCGUGCUUAACACAUGCAAGUGGAGCGACGAACCAGGGCUUGCCCUGGGGCAGAGCCGCGAACGGGUGAGUGACACGUGGGUAACGUGCCCCAAUGAUCGGGACAACCCGGGGAAACCCGGGCUAAUACCGAAUGUGCUCCCCUCACACCAGUGAGGGGUGGAAAGGAAGCUUCGGCCUCCGCAUUGGGAUCGGCCCGCGGCCCAUUAGCUUGUUGGUGAGGUAACGGCUCACCAAGGCUGCGAUGGGUAGCUGGUCUGAGAGGACGAUCAGCCACACUGGGACUGAGACACGGCCCAGACUCCUACGGGAGGCAGCAGUGGGGAAUCUUGCGCAAUGCGCGAAAGCGUGACGCAGCAACGCCGCGUGGGGGAAGAAGGCCUUCGGGUUGUAAACCCCUUUCAGGAGGGACGAAGCCAGGGCGGUUAAUAGCCGACCCGGGUGACGGUACCUCCAGAAGAAGCCCCGGCUAACUACGUGCCAGCAGCGGCGGUAAUUC